rnacentral:rRNA from 1 species
UGAACGCUGGCGGCGUGCUUAACACAUGCAAGUCGCACGAGAACUCCCGAAGCUUGCUUUGGGAUAGUAAAGUGGCGCACGGGUGAGUAACGCGUGGGUAAUUUACCUUCGAAUCGGGGAUAACACUUCGAAAGGGGUGCUAAUACCGGAUAAUAUCGUUAAAGUUUCGGCUUUUACGAUCAAAGAUGGCCUCUACAUGUAAGCUAUUGUUUGGAGAUGAGCCCGCGUACCAUUAGCUAGUUGGUAGGGUAAAGGCCUACCAAGGCGACGAUGGUUAGCUGGUCUGAGAGGAUGAUCAGCCACACUGGAACUGACACACGGUCCAGACUCCUACGGGAGGCAGCAGUGAGGAAUUUUGCGCAAUGGGCGAAAGCCUGACGCAGCAACGCCGCGUGAGUGAUGAAGGCCUUCGGGUCGUAAAGCUCUGUCAAGUGGGAAGAACCGGUAUUGUGAUAAUACCACAAUGCUCUGACGGUACCACUGAAGGAAGCACCGGCUAACUCC